AUACGGAGGGUGCAAGCGUUGUUCGGAAUCACUGGGCGUAAAGGGCGCGCAGGCGGUUUGGUAAGUCAGAUGUGAAAGCCCAUGGCUCAACCAUGGAAGUGCAUUUGAAACUGUCAGACUUGAGUACUAGAGGGGAAAGUGGAAUUCCCGGUGUAGAGGUGAAAUUCGUAGAUAUCGGGAGGAAUACCGGUGGCGGAGGCGACUUUCUGGCUAGAUACUGACGCUGAGGCGCGAAAGCGUGGGGAGCAAACAGAAUUAGAAACCCCGGUAGUCC
rnacentral:rRNA from 1 species